UGAGGAAUUUUCCGCAAUGGGCGCAAGCCUGACGGAGCGACGCCGCGUGAAGGAUGAAGGCUUUCGGGUCGUAAACUUCUUUUGUGGGGGACAAGUUGAUGAUGGUACUCCACGAAUAAGCCCCGGCUAACUACGUGCCAGCAGCCGCGGUAAUACGUAGGGGGCGAGCGUUGUCCGGAAUUACUGGGCGUAAAGGGCGUGUAGGCGGUUGGAUUAGUCUGGUGUGAAAUGGCGAGGCUCAACCUCGUCGCUGCGCUGGAAACUGUCUGACUGGAGUUCGGCAGGGGUUACUGGAAUCCCCGGUGUAACGGUGAAAUGUGUAGAUAUCGGGGGGAACACCUGUGGCGAAGGCGGGUAACUGGGCCGAGACUGACGCUGAGACGCGAAAGCGUGGGGAGCAAACAGG
rnacentral:rRNA from 1 species